GCCCCAUUGGUGGCCCCAUUGCUGUCCCCAUUCAGUCCCAUUGGUGGCCCCAUUGGUGGCCCCAUUCAGUCCCAUUGGUGGCCCCAUUGGUUCCCCAUUCAGUCCCAUUGGUGGCCCCAUUCAGUCCCAUUGAUGUCCCCAUUCAGUCCCCAUUCAGUCCCAUUGGUGGCCCCAAUCAGUCCCAUUGGUGUCCCCAUUGGUUCCCCAUUCAGUCCCAUUGGUGGCCCCAUUCAGUCCCAUUGAUGUCCCCAUUCAUUCCCCAUUCAGUCCCAUUGCUGGCCCCAUUCAGUCCCAUUGAUGUCCCCAUUGCUGUCCCCAUUCAGUCCCAUUGGUGGCCCCAUUGGUGUCCC
ensembl:lncRNA